AUGUCUUCCAGCCAUCUACAAAGACAAGAUAUUUUCCUCAUACUGGAUUGUUCUCUCUGUUUGAUCAGUCAAAGAAGAUCAAAGGAAAACCACAAUGAUUGUUCAGCUUCAAUCUCAUAUUUUAACAAUAACCCAGAUCCAGAGUUUGAUCACUUUCAGAUAAAAAAAGGGAUUACUAGAGCUUUACGAGUAGAUUCAAGAACAUCUUCCAAGUGA